GACGAACGCUGGCGGCGUGCCUAACACAUGCAAGUCGAGCGAGGAACUUCGGUUCCUAGCGGCGGACGGGUGAGUAACACGUGGGUAACCUGCCUCAUAGUGGGGGAUAGCCUCCCGAAAGGGAGAUUAAUACCGCAUAACAUUUUUUUAUCGCAUGGUAAAAAAAUCAAAGGAGUAAUCCGCUAUGAGAUGGACCCGCGGCGCAUUAGCUAGUUGGUGAGGUAACGGCUCACCAAGGCGACGAUGCGUAGCCGACCUGAGAGGGUGAUCGGCCACAUUGGAACUGAGACACGGUCCAGACUCCUACGGGAGGCAGCAGUGGGGAAUAUUGCACAAUGGGCGAAAGCCUGAUGCAGCAACGCCGCGUGAGUGAUGAAGGUCUUCGGAUUGUAAAGCUCUGUCUUUUGGGACGAUAAUGACGGUACCAAAGGAGGAAGCCACGGCUAACUACGUGCCAGCCGCCGCAGUAACAC
rnacentral:rRNA from 1 species